GCAAGUCGAGCGGAAACGAAGAGGAGCUUGCUCCUUUGGCGUCGAGCGGCGGACGGGUGAGUAAUGCUUGGGAAUGUGCCUUAUGGUGGGGGACAACAGUUGGAAACGACUGCUAAUACCGCAUAAUGUCUUCGGACCAAAGUGGGGGACCUUCGGGCCUCACGCCAUAAGAUCAGCCCAAGUGGGAUUAGCUAGUUGGUAAGGUAAUGGCUUACCAAGGCGACGAUCCCUAGCUGGUUUGAGAGGAUGAUCAGCCACACUGGGACUGAGACACGGCCCAGACUCCUACGGGAGGCAGCAGUGGGGAAUAUUGCACAAUGGGCGCAAGCCUGAUGCAGCCAUGCCGCGUGUGUGAAGAAGGCCUUCGGGUUGUAAAGCACUUUCAGUAAGGAGGAAAGGUUAAGUGUUAAUAGCACUUAGCUGUGACGUUACUUACAGAAGAAGCACCGGCUAACUCCGUGCCAGCAGCCGCGGUAAUACGGAGGGUGCGAGCGUUAAUCGGAAUUACUGGGCGUAAAGCGUACGCAGGCGGUUUGUUAAGCGAGAUGUGAAAGCCCCGGGCUCAACCUGGGAACUGCAUUUCGAACUGGCAAACUAGAGUGUGAUAGAGGGUGGUAGAAUUUCAGGUGUAGCGGUGAAAUGCGUAGAGAUCUGAAGGAAUACCGAUGGCGAAGGCAGCCACCUGGGUCAACACUGACGCUCAUGUACGAAAGCG
rnacentral:rRNA from 1 species